rnacentral:rRNA from 1 species
UGCCAGCCGCCGCGGUAAUACAGAGGGUGCAAGCGUUAAUCGGAAUCACUGGGCUUAAAGCGUGCGUAGGCGGACCCGUAAGUACUUUGUGAAAUCCCACGGCUCAACCGUGGAAUUGCUUGGUAGACUGCGGGUCUUGAGGUCGGUAGAGGCUGUCGGAACUCUAGGUGGAGCGGUGAAAUGCGUAGAUAUCUAGAGGAACGCCCAAGGCGAAGGCAGGCAGCUGGGCCGAAUCUGACGCUGAGGCACGAAAGCGUGGGGAGCGAACGGGAUUAGAUA